GGCGGCUCCCAACAAAGUAAGGCGCUUCCUACACCCAUUUCCAGCUGGCCAAGUAGGACCAAGAUAAUCAUCACGGAGGAAGAGGAGAGGUGGGGAUGCCUCUCAGAUCAAAGUCUUCAAAGGCAAACCAGCUGCAUGUUUGUGAAGAUCGUGUUUGGCUCCGGCUCAAGCAGACAGCCCUGAAUGAGAUUCUUGGGGUAGCUACUGAAAACUGGCAGCAGAAGCAGAGCCGGGUUUAUUUCAGAGGGCGUGUUAAGAAGCUGGACCCUUUCCUGGAAAAUCAGCUCCAGUGGAUUAAGAGCUCAUUUAUGAAAAUGAAACCACCACAGAGGCAGUGGCCAAGAGGGGAGAUGACAUCAAGGUUCCUAAAUAAGACACCAGACAUACUAGGCCUGCUUAUCAAACCACAAUUAACAGCAGACAACAAUAGCCAACAAGCAACAGCAGCCAAAACCAACCAACAACCCAACAAUAACCCACCUAUCAGAGCUCUAGCAUUUAUAUAAUACCCUCUGAAAAGUCUCCAGAAUUCCAGACACCCAUACACUCACAGAAACCAUAUGCAGCUGGCAAAAUCACGCCCCUGCUAGAGCAUGAGGCAAAUCAUAGUCAGCUAUGGUGGGCAGUCUGAAGCAGCCCCGUACCUCACACCUAGGAUUAAGACAAAAAUAUAUUCUUAAAUAUUCCUGUGGGUUUUUGGGUUUUUUUUUUUUACUUGGUUUGGUUUUUUUUGUUUUUCGAGACAAAGUUUCUCUGUAUAGCCCUGGCUGUCCUGGAACUCACUCUGUAGACCAGGCUGGCCUUGAAUGAGUCUGCUCUGGUUUUAUUUUGAGAUAGGGUUUCUUAGUUUAACCCCGGCACUCACCAGGCUGGCCUCAAACUCACAGAGAUGGCCUGCCUCUGCCUCCCAAGUGAUUGAAGGUGUGCGCCAUUAUCACCCAGCAAGUUUGGCUCUCCGUUCUACUCCACAAAUACACUCUUCAUUUUGACCCAAAGAUUUUGACUCACACUUGGGUUCAUUUGGUCUGCUGACAUUCAGGCCCAUACUUACAUACUUCCUGUCCCCCAACGCUUAGCAGCAAACUGCACUUGGUAUAACCCUAGAUUUGUCUUUCUCUUCUUUUCAGUCUCACAGCACCUUGAGGCUCGUCCUUAUGAAUUAGGACUUGGUUGUCCUGCAUCAGCAAAGCUGUGUGACCUUCUUGGAAACCAGAGAGGCAGGAUUGAUGCUGACGCUUCAUAGGCUGUGGUAACCACGUGACUCACCGCCACGUGUCCACGCAGAAAAGUUACCCCUUGUUCAGCGCAUCCUCAGUGCAGCCCCAAGGCUGAAGUCGCCAGUACCCACCUCUCUGGGCAGCCCAGUGAUGUCCCUCAGCGAUGAGACUUCAGCAAAGGUCCCCCAAGAGUGGGCUGCACUGUUGGCAAACCUCCUCAGGAACGGCUCCUCGGUGGUGGUCCCUCAGCAGCAACAACCUCUCAAGAAUGGUCCCUGGCGACUGCCCCUUAGCAACAGCUCCUCACAAAUGACCCCUAGAAAGUGGUCCAGUAACUAGGUCGCCUCCCAGAAACAGAUCCUCGGCGACGGUUCCUCAGCACUGGCCCCCGCAGAAUCAGUUCCUUAAGCCGCUAGACCAUGGCCUCUUAACGGCCCGACUGCCCCCAGCCACCGUGGGUCUGAGGCUGCGUAGUUUGGGCGCGCAGCUCCAUGGCAACGGAAGGCUGCUUUGGGGUAGCGGGCGGGGCUGAGGCUGCGGAGGGAGAGCUUGUGCGCAGGCGUAGUGCAACAGCGGGGGUAAAGUGGGACGAGCAUCGCGGAGGGCAGAGUCAAAGCUGACUGUUGCCCAGACGAUUCUCCUGGAGACUGGGGCAGGUGCUCGAGAACUUGUCUAAAGCCAGUUGAAACUUGGGUCAACUGCUUACUUAAAAGACCAUUUACGCAGAAGUUAGGAUCUCCUGCGUCUCUUGGAUCUGAAUUCUGGCUCUCCCAGGGCUUUGCAGCCUGUGUUGUGCCCUCUAGGUGGUGACAUCUGACUCCUCUGGAUAACUCACAGGACUCUUUGGAUUGUUUUUGGUCGUUUAAGUUGGCGUGGUCACUAGUCCGGGCAGGAGGUGGGCUCAACAGUGGACAGGACAUGUUCCCUUUCCUCAGAGUCGCAGGGAUGACUGGCAACUCCUGUAGUUUUGUCUUGGAGAUGGAGAACCUUCAGCGUUAAGAAGUCCUCAAAAUAAUACAGAGCCUGUGGAAAUGUCAGUGGAGAUUGGUGGGGGGUACCUCUGCACUCCCUUCAGAUACUUUGCCUGUGAAAUACCACUGCAAUACUGUAUAGGUGUGUGUGUGGCUGGGGAUCGAACCCAGGUGUUCUAUAAGUUUAGAGCUUUGUGUAUGGAAGCCGGAUGUCCUAGUAAAGCAAUUUGGGAAAGAUAGCCAGUUGGUUUGUAACCUUUAGCUGAGGGAGAAUGUGAACUGGGCCUCCUACUCUGGGUUGACCCUGGUAUAUGGCUGAGCAGAGAGGGUUGUGAAGUAACCAUAUCCAAUACUAAUAUUUGUGGUAUGAAGUAUAAUCCCCACUAUAGUAAAAUAAGUGAAUAAAUUGGUCUUCUCUUUC
ensembl:processed_transcript 5830444B04Rik RIKEN cDNA 5830444B04 gene